CGAACGCUGGCGGCGUGCCUAAUACAUGCAAGUCGAGCGGAAUGAUGAAGAAGAUUCGCUUUCUUCUGAUUUUAGCGGCGGACGGGUGAGUAACACGUGGGCAACCUACCUUGUAGAUUGGGAUAACUCCGGGAAACCGGGGCUAAUACCGAAUAAUCCAUUUUGCUUCAUGGCGAGAUGUUAAAAGCGGCUUCGGCUGUCACUACGAGAUGGGCCCGCGGCGCAUUAGCUAGUUGGUAGGGUAAUGGCCUACCAAGGCGACGAUGCGUAGCCGACCUGAGAGGGUGAUCGGCCACACUGGGACUGAGACACGGCCCAGACUCCUACGGGAGGCAGCAGUAGGGAAUCUUCCACAAUGGACGAAAGUCUGAUGGAGCAACGCCGCGUGAGUGAAGAAGGUUUUCGGAUCGUAAAACUCUGUUGUAAGGGAAGAACACGUACGAGAGUAACUGCUCGUACCUUGACGGUACCUUAUUAGAAAGCCACGGCUAACUACGUG
rnacentral:rRNA from 1 species